UGCGAAUGGCUCAUUAAAUCAGUUAUCGUUUAUUUGAUAGUACCUUACUACUUGGAUAACCGUGGUAAUUCUAGAGUUAAUACAUGCUAAAAACCCCGACUUCGGAAGGGGUGUAUUUAUUAGAUAAAAAACCAAUGCCCUUCGGGGCUCCUUGGUGAUUCAUAAUAACUUAACGAAUCGCAUGGCCUUGUGCCGGCGAUGGUUCAUUCAAAUUUCUGCCCUAUCAACUUUCGAUGGUAUGGUCUUGGCUUACCAUGGUUUCAACGGGUAACGGGGAAUUAGGGUUCUAUUCCGGAGAGGGAGCCUGAGAAACGGCUACCACAUCCAAGGAAGGCAGCAGGCGCGCAAAUUACCCAAUCCUGAUACAGGGAGGUAGUGACAAUAAAUACUGAUACAGGGCUCUUUUGGGUCUUGUAAUUUGAAUGAGUACAAUUUAAAUCCC
rnacentral:rRNA from 1 species